rnacentral:lncRNA from 1 species
AAAACAGUCUUGUACCUUAGAAAGUCACAAAAUAAAUCCAAAACAAUCAUUUUGGAGAAUUUUUUUACUUUGUUGGGUUUCAAUUUGUAAGUUAGUUCAUUCGAAAUACAAAAAUAUUACGUAUAAGUUAGCAUAACCUACCGAUACUAAAAACUAACCUAUACGUUACACAGAAGCGUCCAUGGACGGGCGAUUCCCGCUUCUUAACCAGAGUCGGAUACGGGUGUGGAAACGUCCGAAAGCUUGAGAGAAGCACGACUCUAGAAUACCUGAGUUCGGAAGCGCAUUUGAAGCGAAUGCUUCCAACUUAGAAGCGUGUUGUCGUAAAAUUGGAAGCGUUAAAAGUCGUUCGAAUGGAAAAUAAUUAAAGUGUUUCAAUAUUGACAGAUGAUAUAACUGAAGAGACAAAGACAAAAAUAUUGUUGAAAAAAAAUCAAAGCUAAACGAAGUUUCAAUGGUGGAUGGAUCUCUGCAACUCGGG